rnacentral:tRNA from 1 species
GCCUGGCUGGUUUAGUUGGUAAAGCAUGGGACUCUUAAUCUCAGGGUCAUAAGUUCAAGCCCUACAUUGGGCA